AUUGAACGCUGGCGGCAUGCCUUACACAUGCAAGUCGAACGGCAGCACGGGUGCUUGCACCUGGUGGCGAGUGGCGAACGGGUGAGUAAUACAUCGGAACGUACCUUAUCGUGGGGGAUAACGCAGCGAAAGUUGCGCUAAUACCGCAUACGCCCUGAGGGGGAAAGCGGGGGACCGUAAGGCCUCGCGCGAUUAGAGCGGCCGAUGUCUGAUUAGCCUGUUGGGGAGGUAAAAGCGCACCAAGGCGAUGAUCAGUAGCUGGUCUGAGAGGACGGUCAGCCACACUGGGACUGAGACACGGCCCAGACUCCUACGGGAGGCAGCAGUGGGGAAUUUUGGACAAUGGGGGCAACCCUGAUCCAGCAAUGCCGCGUGAGUGAAGAAGGCCUUCGGGUUGUAAAGCUCUUUUGUCAGGGAAGAAACAGCAGCUCUAACACAGUCUGCGAAUGACGGUACCUGAAGAAUAAGCACCGGCUAACUACGUGCCAGCAGCCGCGGUAA
rnacentral:rRNA from 1 species